ACAUGGUCAGAAGCUCAUUAUCGUCUUGUCUAGCAUUGCUAUUAUUCUGAACCUAGUAUGGCCUCAAAAUGAACUGAAAUAGGGGAGUUGUUGGUCAAACAAAUAAUUCAGCAUCGUCUUGUCUAGCAUUGCUAUUAUUCUAAACCUAGUAUGGCCUCAAAAUAAACUGAAAUAGGGGAGUUGUUGGUCAAACAAAUAAUUCAGCAUGUUUGGACACUCAGUUUUCUACACUUUAGUCAUCUGUAUGGGUUGGGUUCAUGAAUAAUCAGUGGCUGGCAUCAUUUUAUAUUUGCACCGUUUGAGUGCCGAUUACAGUAGGUCUACAUUUUUUAAUCAAAGUGUUUUUAUGUUACUUUGUUCUUUCAGUUUUUUGUCAGUAGUUUGUU
rnacentral:lncRNA from 1 species